ensembl:snRNA U6 U6 spliceosomal RNA
UUGCUUCGGGAGCACAUACACUAAUAUUGGAACAGUAUAGAGAAGAUAACAUGGUCUCUGUGUGAAGACAGACCUGCAAGUAUGUGACACGUUCCAUGUCUUU